rnacentral:rRNA from 1 species
CUUGUAAACUUAGUGGCGGACGGGUGAGUAACACGUGAGCAACCUGCCUAUCAGAGGGGGAUAACGAUUGGAAACGAUCGGCUAAUACCGCAUGACAUAGCGGAACCGCAUGGCCCAUGGAAGAAAAGGUGGCCUCUACCUGUAAGCUAUCGCCUGAAGAGGGGUUUGCGUCUGAUUAGCUGGUUGGAGGGGUAACGGCCCACCAAGGCGACGAUCAGUAGCCGGUCUGAGAGGAUGAACGGCCACACUGGAACUGAGACACGGUCCAGACUCC